UACGGAGGGAGCUAGCGUUGUUCGGAAUUACUGGGCGUAAAGCGCGCGUAGGCGGCUUUUGUAAGUUAGAGGUGAAAGCCCCGGGGGCUCAACCCCCGGAAACUGCCUUUUAAGACUGCAUCGCUUGAAUCCAGGAGAGGUGAGUGGAAAUUCCGAGUGUAGAGGGUGAAAAUUCGUAGAUAUUCGGAAAGAACACCAGUGGCGAAGGCGGCUCACUGGACUGGUAUUGACGCUGAUGUGCGAAAGCGUGGGGAGCAAACAGG
rnacentral:rRNA from 1 species